rnacentral:tRNA from 1 species
GGGGUCUUAGCUCAGAUGGGAGAGCACUUGCCUUGCACGUAAGAUGUCCGGAGUUCGAUCCUCCGAGAUUCCACCA